rnacentral:rRNA from 1 species
AUUGAACGCUGGCGGCAGGCCUAACACAUGCAAGUCGGACGGUAGCACAGAGAGCUUGCUCUUGGGUGACGAGUGGCGGACGGGUGAGUAAUGUCUGGGGAUCUGCCCGAUAGAGGGGGAUAACCACUGGAAACGGUGGCUAAUACCGCAUAACGUCGCAAGACCAAAGAGGGGGACCUUCGGGCCUCUCACUAUCGGAUGAACCCAGAUGGGAUUAGCUAGUAGGCGGGGUAAUGGCCCACCUAGGCGACGAUCUCUAGCUGGUCAGAGAGGAUGACCAGCCACACUGGAACUGAGACACGGUCCAGACUCCUACGGGAGGCAGCAGUGGGGAAUAUUGCACAAUGGGCGCAAGCCUGAUGCAGCCAUGCCGCGUGUAUGAAGAAGGCCUUCGGGUUGUAAAGUACUUUCAGCGGGGAGGAAGGCGAUGCGGUUAAUAACCGCGUCGAUUGACGUUACCCGCAGAAGAAGCACCGGCUAACUCCGUGCCAGCCGCUGCGGUAA